CGGACGGGUGAGUAAUGUCUGGGGAAACUGCCUGAUGGAGGGGGAUAACUACUGGAAACGGUAGCUAAUACCGCAUAACGUCGCAAGACCAAAGAGGGGGACCUUCGGGCCUCUUGCCAUCGGAUGUGCCCAGAUGGGAUUAGCUAGUAGGUGGGGUAACGGCUCACCUAGGCGACGAUCCCUAGCUGGCCUGAGAGGAUGACCAGCCACACUGGAACUGAGACACGGUCCAG
rnacentral:rRNA from 1 species